rnacentral:sRNA from 1 species
CGUAAACGCAAGGAGGUAAGCCGAUGGGACUCACACAUUCCUUGAAUGUUUUGAUGAUCAGUGCAGCGUUCCUCUUCAUCGCGACGAUGCUAUUCAUCUGAGGCGAUAAGCGAGCAGAAGGGUCAGGGACAAAAACGACAAGCCCUGCCGAAACCCAUUCAAGAAUAUGCAUGGCUCCGGAGACGGUGCCAUGCAUUUU